rnacentral:rRNA from 1 species
UACGUAGGGCGCAAGCGUUGUCCGGAAUUAUUGGGCGUAAAGAGCUCGUAGGCGGUUUGUCGCGUCUGCUGUGAAAACCUAAGGCUCAACCUUGGGCUUGCAGUGGGUACGGGCAGACUAGAGUGCGGUAGGGGUGACUGGAAUUCCUGGUGUAGCGGUGAAAUGCGCAGAUAUCAGGAGGAACACCAACGGCGAAAGCACUCUGCUGGGCCGACACUGACACUGGAGAGACGAAAGCUAGGGGAGCAAAUGGG